ensembl:lncRNA
AAAACACAAGAAAAAUACAAAGAACGAAAUAAAAUCAUUGAGAGAUCACCACUGUUGAGGCUUUCACGCAUACUUGGUGUCUUAACACAUGUUUAGAUGCCUGACUAUGCGUGUCACGCCAACAUAUGCACGCACCGACCCUUGUGUGCACGCUCAGGCAUGUCCAGUUCUGUGACCCCACAGACUACAGCCCGCUAGGCUCCUCUGUCCGUGGGAUUUUCCAGGCAAGAAGACAGGUGGGUUACCAUUUCCUGCUGAGGGGAUCUUCCCAAUCCAGGGCUCAAACCUGCGUCUCCUGCAUUGGCAGGGGGAUUCUGUACCACUGAGCCACCCAGGAAACCCCAUAUGAACAUGUACAUUUCGCAAAAAAAGUGUUUGGGCUAUCCACUUGAUUCUGCAACAUGCUUUUUCUACUUUGCAAUAAUGUUAGCACUUUUCAAGUUUCCUAAAAACUCCUCUGAAGUAUUAUCCUAAAGGCUUCAUGGUAUUUCCGAAGUGGAAAUGAGAACCGAUCUGGCUGGUACCAGACCAUGGGCAGCUACAACUGGGCACCCGUUCACUGCAGGCUUCACGUCAGGCACAGACGCCCGGACACGCAUGAGCUGCGGUGCCCAUUUGGCCAAAACGGAGCAUUUGUGGUGGGAUAGCACCAUCACGGCUCCCCGCUUCCCCCACGCUUUUCACUUAUCAGACCGAACAUUACAACCAACGAAAGGGCUCCGAGAGCACGCGGUGUCUCUCAGAUGCGCUCUGCCUCACGCCCUGCGGUGGAGCCCGCGUUCCACCUGCUCCGCACACAUGCGCGCCGCGGGCGCUCCUGUUCGCAGGCGUCUUUUCUCUUGGCGCUGGGGCCUGCCGUUCCCCGUCUCUGGCCCCACGUCCGGUGCUGCGUCCGCAUCUCUCGCCGCUCGAGUCUCUCCCUGGCAAGUCUGUUGUUUCCUCAGCAUAGGAUUUGUCAUGUUCCUGGACCUAAUUCAUCCUGAGGUUUAAUAGGCUGUGUUGCUAUUUUAAAUGGAUCCUCUGCCCUCACCAUUCCUGGCUAACUGGUUCUGUCCAGCGUCUGGAAAGGCUGUUGGGUCUGUACCGUCAUUUUAUCGCCCAUCCUUGCCACUUCAUUUUUGUUUUGCUAAUUGUGAGCCCAUUCCUUUGGGUGUUUGGGAAAGUUUUUUGACUUGAAGCUCUGAUUCUGGAAUCAGCCAGACCUGUGUUUACAUUCCUAACACACCCUUUGCUGGAUUCAGGCCUUUUGCCCCCGAGCUUUAUCAAGAUCAACAACAACGUGUAAGUUCAAGGUGUACAGCUCGGCGAUUCAAGGCAUGCAUCUACCGUGAAAUGAUCACCACGAAGGUCAGCUCUGUGAGGUCUGCGCCGCCUCACAGAGUGAGCACAGUGUUCCAGAUGUGCUAAGAACAUUUACCAUCUGCUCUCAGCAGACUCCACAUAUUCAGCACAGUGUUGUUAACUGCGGGUGCUGCUGUGGGCUGCCCAUCAGACCCUGGGAACUUAUCCGUCUUAAAACGGAAAGCUUGUAUCCUGUGACCAACAUCUCCUGAAAGCCCAGCCCCUGUGGGGAAGCCGCUCCACUCUCCGUUGCUGCGAGCUGGAUGCUUGAGAACUGCACAAACAGGUGGGACUUCCAGGCCGCUGAGCACAGUGGACGCAGAGAGGCUUCCGCCAGGGCCCUGACGGCACCAGGAAGUGUGCUUCACCCGGAGACCCCGCUCUGUCCCUGCUUCAGCUCCCGUCAGCAGCCCCUCCAAGUCCACAGUCGUCUCCUGCCCUGGACUUGAAGCCUGAGCUGCUUUAGUGCGCACGGGCCGCAGUCUGGGAGCCUGACCUGGGCUCGGUGCCCUGUGGAUCGGAUGUUCAGCAGUAAGCCCCUCAGUGUGAGCUCGCUCAGCACAAGCCCACAGUGGUCUCCAGGACCAGCUGGGCUCAGGGUCUGGGACCCCUGUCUGGGUCCACCCUGCGCGUUACCCCUCUCUGCCUGGGGGUCUCCACCUCUCCCCGCCUCCCUCCACCCACCCACCCCAGCGGAAGGAUUUGCCCUGGGCAGUUAGCCCGAUGAUGCGAAGGAACACUGGAAAGAGGGCCAAGAAAGAAACAGAGGACCACACUUUCAACCAGCUGGACCAGACCACAGGCGCCCUCAGAGAACCAGGAGACACACAGGCUGCAGGUGAGACGGUCCCCAGGGGAGACACAGGCCACAUGUGAGACGGUCCGCAGGAGAGACACUUGUCAGGCCCCAAGACGAUUCUCAGGACGUUUUGAAACAUUGAGCUCACACACACUACCUUCUCUGGUCACAAUGGAGUGAAACUGUAAAUCAACAACAGAGGAAACAGGAAUAUUUGCAAACACAUAGGAAGUGAGUAACGCGAACAGUCAAUGCAUCGAAGAAGCCAUGAGGGAAACUGGAAAUCCCUCUGAGAAGAUACCUGUUGCCCAAUCACUCAGUCGUGUCAGACCGUUGGCAACCCCGUGGACUGCAGAACGCCAGGCUUCCCUGUCCUUCAUUAUCUCCUGGAGUUUCUCAAACUCAUGUCCACUGAGUCAGUGAUGCUAUUCAACCAUCUCAUUCUCUUUUUCCCCUUCUCCUCCUGCCCUCAACCUUUCCCAGCAUCAGGGUCUUUUCCAAGGAGUCAGCGUUUUGCAUCAGGUGGCCAAAGUAUUGGAAAGGAAAUACUUAGACAAGAAUUGAAAGGGAAACACAAUAUAUCUGAGCUUAAGGGGCGCAGCAGUGAUAGUGCUCAGAGGGAAAUUCAUUAGCUGCAAACACCUACGCUGAAAAAGUAAAACUAUUUCAAAAGAAACUCCAUGUUCAUUGAAACAUAUUUAAAACACCCAACACAUGAAAACCUUUUAAAUGCUUCUCAUUAGAUGGAUGGAUAAAGGAAUGCGGUGUGUGUGUGUGUGUAUUUAGACAGCUGUUCCUUGACUUACAGUGGGGAUUGUGUCCCAGUAAACCUAUCGUGAAUGAAAAUAUUUAAGUCAAAAAUGCAUUUAAUACACCUCAAACAUGCUCAGGACACUAAAGUCUAUUUCAUAACAAAGUGUUGAAGAGUUCACAUGAUUUAUUGAACACCGUACUGAAAGUGAAAAUCAGAGUGGCCGUCUGUACAGGGUGACUGCAAGUGCGCAGGCCAUUUGCCCUUGUGACCGCGGGGAAAUGGGGCGUCCGCCCCUGCCCAGCAUCAAGAGCCCACCAUCGCCAGCCCAGAGAAGGUCAGACUCAAAACUCAGAGAGCAGUUUCCACUGGACAUGCAAGCAGUGCCGCUGUGUGGACCCGAGAGCAGUGCGCUCAGUGAGAGGGCUUAGACACGAAUGUCACAAGGCGCAAGCUUCCUUUUACAUGAAACGUCCAGAGGCGGAAAGACCUUAGAGAUGGACGCAGCCUGGUGGUCCCUGGGGCUGGCAAGUGGGAGGCGCAGGGGUUACUUAAUGGUUUGGGGGUAUUUUUCUGGGGUGAACAUUUUGAAAAAAUUUUAGAACCAGAGAGAAGUGGAGAGAAGUAGUGGCUAUAGACAUUGAAACUGCACCGAAUGCUACUGGGUUAUGGACUGCGGGAGGCCCAGCCAGUCCAGCCUAGAGGAGACCAGCCCUGGGUGUUCACUGGAAGGACUGAUGGUAAAGCUGAAACUCCAAUACUCUGGCCACCUCAUGUGAAGAGUUGACUCAUUGGAAAAGACUUCGAUGCUGGGAGGGAUUUGGGGCAGGAGGAGAAGGGGACGACAGAGGAUAAGAUGGCUGAGUGGCAUCACUGACUCGAUGGACAUGAGUCUGAGUGAACUCUGGGAGUUGGUGAUGGACAAGAAGGCGUGGUGUGCUGCGAUUCAUGGGGUCGCAAAGAGUCGGACACAACUGAGCGACUGAACUGAACUGAACUGAUACACUUUAAAGUAGUUAAUUGUGUGCUAGGUACAUUUUACAUCAGUAAAAUACAUGUGAAAGAAAGAGUUGUAUUUCUGAGCAAGCCCAUCCUCUCACUGUGGCAGUUACUGAGGUUUUCAGUUAACAGAUGAAAUCCGGUUUGGCCCUCGCUCUUGUUUUGCUGCCAUGUCAGGGCCUUUGGGGACCAGAUCGGCCCAGAGGCUGAGGCUCUUGCAGACG